UAAAAACAAAGCGAUUAUAUUGCAUUCAGUUUCGACCUGAACUUAGAAAAAUUCUGUUUUUAA
rnacentral:tRNA from 1 species